rnacentral:rRNA from 1 species
UGGGGAAUUUUGGACAAUGGGCGAAAGCCUGAUCCAGCAAUGCCGCGUGUGUGAAGAAGGCCUUCGGGUUGUAAAGCACUUUUGUCCGGAAAGAAAUCCUUGGCUCUAAUACAGUCGGGGGAUGACGGUACCGGAAGAAUAAGCACCGGCUAACUACGUGCCAGCAGCCGCGGUAAUACGUAGGGUGCAAGCGUUAAUCGGAAUUACUGGGCGUAAAGCGUGCGCAGGCGGUUUGCUAAGACCGAUGUGAAAUCCCCGGGCUCAACCUGGGAACUGCAUUGGUGACUGGCAGGCUAGAGUAUGGCAGAGGGGGGUAGAAUUCCACGUGUAGCAGUGAAAUGCGUAGAGAUGUGGAGGAAUACCGAUGGCGAAGGCAGCCCCUGGGCCAAUACUGACGCUCAUGCACGAAAGCGUGGGGAGCAAACAGGAUUAGAUACCCUGGUAGUCCACGCCCUAAAAUGAUGAUC